GGGUUUCCUGCUUCAAAAGUGCUUGGACGGAACCU
rfam:Pongo abelii chromosome 6.